rnacentral:rRNA from 1 species
GAUGAACGCUAGCUACAGGCUUAACACAUGCAAGUCGAGGGAAACGACAUCGAAAGCUUGCUUUUGAUGGGCGUCGACCGGCGCACGGGUGAGUAACGCGUAUCCAACCUGCCCACCACUUGGGGAUAACCUUGCGAAAGUAAGACUAAUACCCAAUGACGUCUCUAGAAGACAUCUGAAAGAGAUUAAAGAUUUAUCGGUAUGGGAUGGGGAUGCGUCUGAUUAGCUUGUUGGCGGGGUAACGGCCCACCAAGGCGACGAUCAGUAGGGGUUCUGAGAGGAAGGUCCCCCACAUUGGAACUGAGACACGGUCCAAACUCCUACGGGAGGCAGCAGUGAGGAAUAUUGGUCAAUGGGCGCAAGCCUGAACCAGCCAAGUAGCGUGAGGGAAGACUGCCCUACGGGUUGUAAACCUCUUUUGUUUGGGAAUAAAGUGCGGGACGUGUCCCGCAUUGCAUGUACCAUUUGAAUAAGGACCGGCUAAUUCCGUG